UCUCACUUCGUUCGACUUUGCCUCAUCGAGCUCCAUACACAACAUCGCGUCCCUCUGUCUGUCUGUCUCUGCGUGUGUGUGUGUGUGUGUUUUAUUUUCUUUUCUCUCGUGCAUUCGUUGCCAUAUCUGGGGUGAUGUGGCAAAACGCAGCGCUGCAGCCUUCAGCACUAUCAUUGCCACAAUCCGAGCUCACUUGCUCAGCCGGCGAAAGAAAGGGAGAGAGGGACGGUAAAGAGAGCGCAAAGACUUGAAAUAGACAGCGCUGCGUACGCUGCGGUAGUGCUCAUCGCGACACACACACACACACACACACACACACAAGCGCGCUCGCGCUAUUCGUUUGAGCUGAAAGACUCGACAGAGGAGAUUUUGUUUCUCGUGGCACAACUCUCCAUAGAUUCACACCCACAAGCCUAUCCCCGGCCGCAGCUUGCCCAACGACAGGGUGCAGCACUUGGUCUUUUUAGCAAACCACAUCCGCGUCGCCUCCCUGCUCCGCGACGCCUGUGUGGAGCCGACCUAACGCAUUGCGCCGACUACAUCCAUUCACCUCGGCGUCCACCGAACCACUGAAACGACUGGUAUCUCAUCCGCUCAUCUCAUCCUCACGCAUACUUUAAAGGUAAGCGUAUAAAACUGCCAAGCGUCACAGAUAAUGGCGCAUCUCUUCUUCACAGGCGCAUGCGCAGCAGCAGCUGUACUGCCCACCAGCGACCGCGAAGAGGUGUCACCGGUGUGGUCGAUCUACGACGACUACUGCUGUAGCGCCUCGCAGAAUGCUGAGGUGAACGAUCCACAAGUGGAGGGUGGAGGGGUGGGCAACUGUGGAGGCACAGCACUUCCCCGGCUUCCCCUCAUCUCGGGCCCUGUGCCAUCCAUGACGUUGAAAGGCGCUCAGCUGAAGAAAGAGGCGCCGAUUCGCCGGGGUGCCCAGGGGGCCGUAUACUCUGCCCUCGACGUAGCCACCAGCGCACCUGCGGAGGACGAGAACGCCAAGGGGCUUUUUUCGCAAGAGGCCUGCAGAGGGCAUGAGGGCGAAGAGCAGGUUGCAGAUGGCGGACAAAGGCCGGCGCGGCGCGGUCGCCGUGUUGCCGUAAAGCGCAUUUUUAUUCAGGCAAGCGACUUCGGAGCACGCGACAUCUCCGCAACGGUGCUGCGUGAGGUAACGCUGCAUCGCUUUGUGAGCGAGAAGCAAGCUGCGUGCCUUGCGGCAGCGGGCACUUCUUAUUCUACUGCUUCAGCCUCCGAUGCCACGGCGCGUGCGGAGGACGAUCAAGGUCAGGCACUCUGUAAUCUCAUCGACGACUCUGCGCGAGUCAUUCACCUCUACCGUGUUGUGGAGGCCCCGCACAAGGAGAUGUGCCUUGUGAUGGAACUCGCGGCAACGAACCUGGAGCAGGUCGUGUUUCCGCACGGCGCCCGCGGUGCCCAGAGGGGCGAUGGCGCCGGAGGCUACAUGCGGAAGCCCGGCGUGGUCUCCCUCUUUGGUUCCUCUGCCUCUAUUGGUGUCGGCGGCGGUCUGGGCCUGUCCUCCGCCUCGCUGUCUACAGCGCCCGACGCUGCAACGGCAGAUGCGGGCCCGCAGGCGUCGCCGCCCUCUCCGCCACCUUCCCGAAUGCCGCUCGUGCGCUACGUGAUGCGCCGCCUGCUACGCCUCGUAUGUUUCCUACACGAGACGUGCCGUGUGGUGCAUCGAGACCUGAAACUGAGCAAUGUGCUGGUGUCGAAGGACGCUGGGCUUCGCCUCGGUGACUUUGGGUCGGCACGCUUCAUUCCGCCCUUGCGCUCGGCGACGAAGACCGGGUGUGAGAACUCUCCGUCUGUCCUCAAGCCUCCUGCAGCACCUGCGGGCCAGCGUGAGCACCUCCUGUGCACACCUCCAUCGAUACGCACAACACUCCACUAUCGACCCCCCGAGGCUCUCCUCGGAGACCAGGUGUGCCGCACCGCGGCAGAUGUGUGGGCGCUAGGUGUGAUCUUUGCGCAGUUGCUGCUGCAGAAGGGCUUGUUCCGUUCUGAGAGCGAGUUAGACCUGCUGGGGGGCAUUCAGAAGCUUCUCGGAAUGCCAACGUACAGCGCGCCGCCUUCGUGGCUCGGCGCGCCGUCGGUACCCGGCCCGCCGAGGGACAGGGAAUCCGCUGCGCACAUUCCCGCCCCGCAGGCAAGUCUUCCGUACAAGUUCCACGCCGGCGUCGUACCCGCUGAUGGGCUGGACCUGCUGUCGCGGAUGCUGCACCAGCAACCCGAGUGCCGCAUCACCGCUCGCGAAGCACUACAGCACCCUUUUCUGAACCUCGAGGGCCUAUCUGCGUUGGCUACACAUGACGACGACGAGAGAGGGCGAGUGUUGUGGGAGGAGAGAGUGGCGACGGUGCUGCGUGAGCAGGCGACGGGGCCCAUCUACGGUAUGGGACGAGGUGAGCGGCGGCCCAUGCUCAUAAGUCUCGCUGAUAACGAGGACGAAGAGGAUCAAGAGGACGACGAGGACGGCGCCGCCCCGUUCUGCGUUGACCUGGGCGGGUGCACAUCAUACUAAGCACACAUAUAUGCAUUUUCUUCCUUUUUCUUCUUACAGCACUCUCGUCGAGUGGAAAGAGUAAAAGGAACAGACCGACAUGUUUGACCCUCCCUGUACCCUGCAUACGACACACGCACAAGCUUAGACACAGAAGCAGGUAUGCCGACGCCCUCUCUCUGGCCCUUUUCGGUGAGUGGGAGCAGCUCGCACGCGAAGCUCGCACUGCCCUGUUUGAUGCGACAGAGUCACAGUCUUAUUCCAGCUUGAUGCGAAACGGUGGAGUCCAUCAAGUGGCACAGAUUUGUUGCAUCGCCUUUCUUGGCGCUGGCGACAAGAUGGAGGCGCGCAUGUGGGGUUUUCGUUCGUUGGCGUCUCUCUCGCUUAUCCCGUCACGUAGCGCAGGCUUAGCACGGACAGAUGGGGCCCUCGUCAACCUCCGCAUGCAAGCAAGCCUAUUUGCCCCCUCAUCUUUCCUCUCCCUGCAACUCUUCGCGUCUUACCCCUCCGUUGGACGCCUUCACGAGCUCACGCACUUUUUGUUUGGGGAGUGCCCUCGGCGAGAGUGUCAAGAACGGGAUGGGUGCGAUUCACCAGGGAUAACGAGCACCCACGAUAGCGUACGCUUCUCGUGCUUUCCCCUCCCUUAUCCCUCCUCCACCUGAAUCUUCCGCUACUACUCUCUCCCUACCCUCUCUCCCCCUUCUGCCUCCCUUCCUCUCCAUCACCCCCUCCCCCUCCAUUACUGGCUGCUGUUGUCUGCCCCCCUCUCCCUCUCUCUCGGUGGCACCGCAACAACCGCACUCCUCUCCGGCACCGCAUAUAUACACAUAUAUCUCUCUAUAUAUACAUACACAG
rnacentral:misc_RNA from 1 species